AUACGGAGGGUGCAAGCGUUAAUCGGAAUUACUGGGCGUAAAGGGCGCGUAGGCGGUCUAUCAAGUCAGGUGUGAAAUCCCACGGCUCAACCGUGGAGGUGCAUCUGAAACUGAUAGACUUGAGUAUGGGAGAGGAAAGUGGAAUUCCCGGUGUAGAGGUGAAAUUCGUAGAUAUCGGGAGGAACACCAGUGGCGAAGGCGACUUUCUGGACCAAUACUGACGCUGAGGCGCGAAAGCGUGGGGAGCAAACAGAAUUAGAAACCCUAGUAGUCC
rnacentral:rRNA from 1 species